rnacentral:rRNA from 1 species
AACGAACGCUGGCGGCGUGCCUAACACAUGCAAGUCGAACGUGAUUGGAAGCUUGCUUCCAUGAAAGUGGCGCACGGGUGAGUAACGCGUAGAUAAUCUACCUGAUGGAUCGGGAUAACACUUCGAAAGGGGUGCUAAUACCGGAUAAGCCCACGGAGUCCUUGGACACUGCGGGAAAAGGAGGGGACCUUCGGGCCUUCCGUCAUCAGAUGAGUCUGCGUACCAUUAGCUAGUUGGUAGGGUAAAGGCCUACCAAGGCGACGAUGGUUAGCUGGUCUGAGAGGAUGAUCAGCCACACUGGAACUGAGACACGGUCCAGACUCCUACGGGAGGCAGCAGUGGGGAAUUUUGCGCAAUGGGGGAAACCCUGACGCAGCAACGCCGCGUGAGUGAUGAAGGCCCUUGGGUCGUAAAGCUCUGACAGAGGGAAAGAAAUGUGGGUGGCUAAUAUCCAUUCCACUUGACGGUACCCUCAAAGGAAGCACCGGCUAACUCCGUGCCAGCAGCCGCCGUAAGAC